AGCAGGCCCCUCCUAACGCUCCUCCACCAGUAACUCUGAGGACUACUCCCAGUAGUCAGACAAAGGAGAGGGAGAACACAGUGAGGAGCCAAAGGGCCUGUCGGGGGCAGACCACUGGAAAGGCCCAGCCCCCACCUUGGGGGAGGAGUCCAGGGAGGAGGAGUUUGACGAGUACUUUGAGGACAUGUUUCUUUGACCACCCUGCCCUUGGAUUUCUGCCAGCAAGAGUCAACACGCGGGGAGUCAACACGCGGGAGUCAACACGCGGGGAGUCAACACGCGGGGAGUCAACACGCGGGGAGUCAACACGCGGGGAGUCAACACGCGGGGAGUCAACACGCGGGAGUCAACACGCGGGAGUCAACACGCGGGGAGUCAACACGCGGGAGUCAACACGCAGGAGUCAACAUAGAUUUGAUUGAUUUUCUAUUAGACGUUGUUGUCUUCAUUUAUUAUUUCAGUUUGUCUGAAGCUAAAUAAAAUGCAGGUUCUUUUUUAAACCUGAGCUUCUAAUUCAACCUCCUGACAUUUCAUUCUAACUGAAAUAUAGACUACAAUAUGCAUGAAGUGCCAUGUAAGAACCCAGUAUCGAAGUGUAUUUAGAAAAAGCACAAUCCACUAAGAACUCCCAAGAAAGAACAAUCUGAAAAGAAAACUAGAGGACGAGAAACAUUCAACCACAUGAGGUUGGUGGCACCUUAAUAGGGGAGGACGGGCUCGUGGUAAUGGCUAGAGCGUAAUAGGUGGAAUGGUAUCAAACACAUGGUUUCCAUGGUUUCUCUGUGUUUGAUGCCAUUCCAUUCGUACCGUUCCAGCCAUUAUUAUGAGCCGUCUUCCCCUCACCAGCCUCCACUGCAUUCAACGAUGGUAGUAGAGACAGAGACAAAAUACAAGCCCAGGCAUUGGAAAGUGCAUGUAUUAACACAUCAAUAUUGUUCCUGUUGGGUUAUAGUUCACCAAUGUUCUGUAUAGGGUUAUAGAUACCCAGACCAUAUGAACCAAUGUCACUGAGUUCCUCAGAUGCUGUAGCACUAGGAUUAGGAAGCAGUGCAUUAUGCCCAACGUUGCUUGGUGUGCUGUUUUCAUUAGUGUGUCACUUGCCCAGGGAUUAGACACAUUGGCUUUAAUCACCAGUAACUACUCUUCUAUCUGAAGGAGUCCUUAAGUACACUGAGUUAACACAUUAUAACCGUCCAUGAUAACCGUCCAUUAAAUCCGACCAUGAGAACCGUCCAUGAUAACCAACCAUGAUAAUAUAUACCCUACUACCCCAUUAAUAUACCCUACUACCCCGUUAAUAUACCCUACUACCCCGUUAAUAUACCCUACUACCCCACUAAUAUACCCUACUACCCCGUUAAUAUACCCUAAUACCCCAUUAAUAUACCCUACUACCCCAUUAAUAUACCCUAAUACCCCGUUAAUAUACCCUACUACCCCGUUAAUAUACCCUACUACCCCGUUAAUAUACCCUAAUACCCCAUUAAUAUACCCUACUACCCCGUUAAAGAGUGUGGAUCUCCUUUUACACAGUAUUGUAGGCCUGUAGUUCCUACAGGUCACAGACACAGACAUAAGGUUGCAUUGAUUUCAUAAUCUUUUUCUGAAUGGUCUUUGAUUGAAAAAAUGUCAUGCCUAAAAUGUACACUGUCUUACAUGU